GAUGAACGCUGGCGGCGUGCCUAAUACAUGCAAGUCGAGCGAACGGACGAGAAGCUUGCUUCUCUGAUGUUAGCGGCGGACGGGUGAGUAACACGUGGAUAACCUACCUAUAAGACUGGGAUAACUUCGGGAAACCGGAGCUAAUACCGGAUGAUAUUUUGAACCGCAUGGUUCAAAGGUGAAAGACGGUCUUGCUGUCACUUAUAGAUGGAUCCGCGCUGCAUUAGCUAGUUGGUAAGGUAACGGCUUACCAAGGCAACGAUGCAUAGCCGACCUGAGAGGGUGACCGGCCACACUGGAACUGAGACACGGUCCAGACUCCUACGGGAGGCAGCAGUAGGGAAUCUUCCGCAAUGGGCGAAAGCCUGACGGAGCAACGCCGCGUGAGUGAUGAAGGUCUUCGGAUCGUAAAACUCUGUUAUUAGGGAAGAACAUAUGUGUAAGUAACUGUGCACAUCUUGACGGUACCUAAACAGAAAGCCACGGCUAACUACGUG
rnacentral:rRNA from 1 species